rnacentral:rRNA from 1 species
UACGAAGGGGACUAGCGUUGUUCGGAAUCACUGGGCGUAAAGCGCACGUAGGCGGAUUCGUAAGUCAGGGGUGAAAUCCCGGGGCUCAACCUCGGAACUGCCUUUGAUACUGCGGGUCUUGAGUCCGAUAGAGGUGGGUGGAAUUCCUAGUGUAGAGGUGAAAUGCGCAGAUAUCAGGAAGAACACCAAUGGCGAAAGCAGCUUUCUGGGACGGUACUGACGCUGAGACGCGAAAGCGUGGGGAGCGAACAGG